UACGAGAGGCCCAAACGUUAUUCGGAAUUACUGGGCUUAAAGAGUUCGUAGGCGGCGCAGAAAGUAGGGUGUGAAAGCCCUCGGCUCAACCGAGGAAUUGCGCUCUAAACUACUGUGCUCGAGGAAUCUAGAGGUGAGCGGAACUGAUGGUGGAGCGGUGAAAUGCGUUGAUAUCAUCAGGAACACCGGAGGCGAAAGGCGGCUCCACUGGGG
rnacentral:rRNA from 1 species